AUUGAACGCUGGCGGCAGGCUUAACACAUGCAAGUCGAACGAGUGGCGGACGGGUGAGUAAUGCUUGGGAAUCUAGCUUAUGGCGGGGGAUAACUACGGGAAACUGUAGCUAAUACCGCGUACCAUAGGAUGAGCCCAAGUGGGUUUAGGUAGUUGGUGGGGUAAAGGCUCACCAAGCCGACGAUCCCUAGCGGGUCUGAGAGGAUGACCAGCACACCGGGGAUGGGGAAACGGCCCAGACUCCGACGGAAGGCAGCAGUGGGGAAUAUUGCGCAAUGGGGGAAACCUGACGCAGCCAUGCGGCGUGAAUGAAGAAGGUCUUCGGGUUGUAAAGUUCUUUAGGAAGGGAGGCGUUACUUACCGAAGAAGGACCGGCUAACUCCGUGCCAGCAGCCGCGGUAAUAC
rnacentral:rRNA from 1 species